CGACUUAGGUGGAAGUGAAGGCUGUACCCAGGUGUGGCGCUGAAAAGAUUGCAUGUCUAGUGAAGACCAGAGGACUGUCGCUGGAAGUUCUGCUGGAACUGAGAAUGAAGGUAGCAAGUUCGUGGAGAAUGCUGGGUCUGUUGUUGCCUGGCCUGGAAUACUCUGCUCGGCUUAUCCCCAGAUCCUGCUCCUGUUUCUCCUAGGUGACACCCACGCACUCCCAAUUUUGCUUCGGUUAUACUCGCCCAACUAAUUAAAAUUGAUACUACAAGUAUUAACCAUGGUUCACUGCUUGUUUGAUGUUGAAAACAAUGGUUGCAUUGGCAAUUCAUUUCCAGCGUGCCUUCAUAAGCCUCCUGUGCAGCACUCAGUUCGAAGAGCUCUCCGUGCAGGUCUCCAGGAUCUCUUCCUGA
rnacentral:lncRNA from 1 species